GAUGAACGCUGGCGGCGUGCCUAAUACAUGCAAGUCGAGCGAACUGAUUAGAAGCUUGCUUCUAUGACGUUAGCGGCGGACGGGUGAGUAACACGUGGGCAACCUGCCUGUAAGACUGGGAUAACUUCGGGAAACCGAAGCUAAUACCGGAUAGGAUCUUCUCCUUCAUGGGAGAUGAUUGGAAGAUGGUUUCGGCUAUCACUUACAGAUGGGCCCGCGGUGCAUUAGCUAGUUGGUGAGGUAACGGCUCACCAAGGCAACGAUGCAUAGCCGACCUGAGAGGGUGAGCGGCCACACUGGGACUGAGACACGGCCCAGACUCCUACGGGAGGCAGCAGUAGGGAAUCUUCCGCAAUGGACGAAAGUCUGACGGAGCAACGCCGCGUGAGUGAUGAAGGCUUUCGGGUCGUAAAACUCUGUUGUUAGGGAAGAACAAGUACGAGAGUAACUGCUCGUACCUUGACGGUACCUAACCAGAAAGCCACGGCUAACUACGUGCCAGCCGCCGCGGUAACAC
rnacentral:rRNA from 1 species